rnacentral:rRNA from 1 species
GGGGGAUAAAUUAAUAAAAUAUAAAUAAUAAAAGAAUUUUUAAUAUUAAAUAAUUUAAUGGGGGUUAAAGUAUAUUUAAUAGAAAAAAAUGGAAAAAUUUAUAGUAAAUUAGUAUUGUAAAAGAAAUUUGAAAUAUAUUGAAAAUAAAUUUAUGUAAAAGUAAAUUUAAUUUAUUGUAUCUUGUGUAUCAGAGUUUAUUAAUAAUAUUUUUUAUUUAAAAAUUUUCUCGAAUUUAAAAGAGAUAAUUAAUUAUUAAAGUUAAUGUUGAAUAAUUAUUUUAAAUAAUUAAUUUGAAAUGAAAUGUUAAUCGUUUUUAAAUAUAUCUAGUUUUUUUAGAAAAAAAUUUAAUUUUAAAUUUUAAAAUAUAUAAUUUUAAUUAAUUAAAAUUAUAUUUUUAAAAUUAAAUAUUUUAAGGGAUAAGCUUUAAAAUAAAUUUUUAUAAUAAAUUUUUAUAAUAAUUAAAAUUUUUAAAAUUUAUAUUGUUUAUAAAUUAUAAUUUUUUAUAAAUAAUUUUAAUUAAAUUAAAAUUUAAAAUUUAUUUAAUUUUUUAUAAAAAAAUAUUUUGUAAUAAUUUAAAUUUAGGUAUAAUGAUAAAAUUAGUAUAUAAUUAAAUGAAAAUAAUUUAUUUUUUGAUAAGUUAAUAAAAGGAAUUCGGCAAAAAUUUAUAUUCACUUGUUUAUCAAAAACAUGUCUUUUUGAUUAAUAAUUUAAAGUCUAAUCUGCCCACUGAUAUAAUAUUAAAGGGCUGCAGUAUUUUGACUGUACAAAGGUAGCAUAAUCAUUAGUCUCUUAAUUGGUGACUUGUAUGAAAGAUUUGAUGAGAUAUAUACUGUCUCUUUUUAAUUUGUAAAAUUUAAUUUUUUAGUUAAAAAGCUAAAAUAUAUUUAAAAGACGAGAAGACCCUAUAGAGUUUUAUAUUUAAUUAAAUUAAAAUUUUUUGUAAGAUUUAAAAUUUUAAUAUAUUUAAAUAUUAUGUUGGGGUGACAAAAAAAUUUAAAUAACUUUUUUUAUAAAUUAACAUUUAUUAAUGAAUAUAUGAUCCGUAACUUACGAUUAUAAGAAAAAAUUACCUUAGGGAUAACAGCGUAAUUUUUUUUUUUAGUUCAAAUAAGAAUUAAAGUUUGCGACCUCGAUGUUGGAUUAAGAUAAAAUUUAAAUGUAAAAGUUUAAAAUUUUUGAUCUGUUCGAUCAUUAAAAUCUUACAUGAUCUGAGUUCAAACCGGUGUAAGCCAGGUUGGUUUCUAUCUUUAAAUUUAUAAAAUAUUUUAGUACGAAAGGAUCAAAUAUUUAAAAUAAUUUUAUAUAAUAAGAAUUUUAAUAAUAGUAAGUAAAUAU